rnacentral:lncRNA from 10 species
AACUUUGUUAUCUUUCUGUGGCAGCCUGAGCUGACUAAUACCUUUGAGAGGUGAAGUUUGAAGGCCACUAGAUCAACUGAAGUCCAAAGCAUGAGAACCCCCACCAAAGAAGGACAAACAAAUGAAGCAGUUUCCUUCCAGAUAAUGGAAGAAAAAUAUGGCAGCCAUAAAUGUUGAUUGGAGAAAAUCACUGAAGUUUUCAUCAUUUCUUAAAGGUCAAGUGU